AAAAAAAAUUUCUCUUCUUCCUGUUAUUGGUAGUUCUGAACGUUAGAUAAUUUUUUUCCAUGGGGUCAAAAGGUACCUAAGUAUAUGAUUGCGAGUGGAAAAAUAGGGGACAGAAAUCAGGUAUUGGCAGUUUUUCCAUUUUCAUUUGUGUGUGAAUUUUUAAUAUAAAUGCGGAGACGUAAAGCAUUAAUGCAAGUUAAAAUGUUUCAGUGAACAAGUUUCAGCGGUUCAACUUUAUAAUAAUUAUAAAUAAACCUGUUAAAUUUUUCUGGACAAUGCCAGCAUUUGGAUUUUUUUAAAACA
rnacentral:lncRNA from 1 species